GGUUUUGGGCUCCCUUCCUAUGUGGAGAAAGGCCCAAUAUGUGCAAGCCCAUGUGUCUCUCUUAACCAAGUGGAGAGAGGUCAGAUUAGUGAGAGUGAGAGAGCUGAAUUCAAAGAGCGAGGCAAGAGAAAAGUGAGAGAGGAAGAGCAAAACCCAUUUUCGCAUAAAACAGAGCAGUUGCACUAGAUUCGCGAUUUCUCCUUUGUUCACCGUCGGAUCGGGCUGAAAUUUGG
rnacentral:lncRNA from 1 species